CUGCCCAACAAGGUAAAGCAGAAUACAUCCCGAUCUCAGCUGACUGUGUUUUGAACACUGGUCAGAGUUACAGUGUCCUCUGUGAACAGGAGGGCUUGAAAAUACAGCCCCUGAGAGCAAGCUUUUUCUCACAUUUUGGACCAAAUUUCCACCCAACAUUUGAGGUUUUCCUGACUACAGACCCAGAUGAAGUGACUUUGAUGGUCCAGGACCAAGAGAGGACAGAAGUAUGGAGACGUCAUGUUUAUCUGAGAGAUCCUAAACGGGACACAGAGCAGAGAGUCCCACCACCGGAGUGGCUGUUUGCAGUUCGGACAGAGUUGGUUA